AAAUAUAUCCUUCCAAAAGUAAAAUUUAAUCUGCUGGAAUAGCAUUUGAUCCCAGUCCAAAUAGAGUCAAUUAUACACUAUUACAGAACUAAAUCAACUCAAAACAGCUGUAAAAUCAACUCUUAUUGGAGUAAAACCACUUGGAUUGA